rnacentral:rRNA from 1 species
CUGAACGACUCUCGGCAACGGAUAUCUCGGCUCUUGCAUCGAUGAAGAACGUAGCGAAAUGCGAUACUUGGUGUGAAUUGCAGAAUCCCGUGAACCAUCGAGUCUUUGAACGCAAGUUGCGCCUGAAGCCACUAGGUUGAAGGCACGUCUGCCUGGGCGUCACGCAU